GACGAACGCUGGCGGCGUGCUUAACACAUGCAAGUCGAACGGUGAAGGUGGAGCUUGCUCCGCCGGAUCAGUGGCGAACGGGUGAGUAACACGUGGGCAACCUGCCCCAGACUUCGGGAUAACUCCUCGAAAGAGGCGCUACUACCGGAUACGAGUCCCGCAGGCACCUGGGGACUUGACAAGUUUUUCGGUCUGGGAUGGGCCCGCCGCCUAUCAGGUUGUUGGGGAGGGAACGGCUCACAAAGGCGACGACGGGUAGCGGGCCUGAGAGGGCGACCGGCCACACUGGGACUGAGACACGGCCCAGACUCCUACGGGAGGCAGCAGUGGGGAAUAUUGCGCAAUGGGCGAAAGCCUAACGCAGCAACGCCGCGUGCGGGAUGAAGGCCUUCGGGUUGUAAACCGCUUCCAGCAGGGAAGAAGCGAAAGUGACGGUACCUGCAGAAGAAGCACCGGCUAACUACGUGCCAGCCGCCGCAGUAA
rnacentral:rRNA from 1 species